GUCAAGAUGGCCGAGUGGUCUAAGGCACCAGACUCAAGUUGCUGGUCUCCAAAUGGAGGCGUGGGUUCAAAUCCCACUUCUGACA